AGUGAACGCUGGCGGCAGGCCUAACACAUGCAAGUCGAACGGCAGCACAGGGGAGCUUGCUCCCUGGGUGGCGAGUGGCGGACGGGUGAGGAAUACAUCGGAAUCUACCCUUUCGUGGGGGAUAACGUAGGGAAACUUACGCUAAUACCGCAUACGAUCUGAGGAUGAAAGCAGGGGACCGCAAGGCCUUGCGCGAUUGGAUGAGCCGAUGUCCGAUUAGCUAGUUGGCGGGGUAAGGGCCCACCAAGGCGACGAUCGGUAGCUGGUCUGAGAGGAUGAUCAGCCACACUGGAACUGAGACACGGUCCAGACUCCUACGGGAGGCAGCAGUGGGGAAUAUUGGACAAUGGGCGCAAGCCUGAUCCAGCCAUGCCGCGUGUGUGAAGAAGGCCUUCGGGUUGUAAAGCACUUUUGUUGGGAAAGAAAUCCUGUCGGCUAAUACCCGGCUGGGAUGACGGUACCCAAAGAAUAAGCACCGGCUAACUUCGUGCCAGCAGCCGCCGUAA
rnacentral:rRNA from 1 species